AUUGAACGCUGGCGGCAGGCCUAACACAUGCAAGUCGAGCGCGCGGCGGACGGGGGAGUAAUGUCUGGGACACUGCUCGAUGGCGGGGGAUAACUACUGGAAACGGUAGCUAAUACCGCAUACCAUCAGAUGUGCCCCGAUGGGAUUAGCGAGUGGGUGGGGUAAAGGCUCACCUAGGCGACGAUCCCUAGCUGGUCUGAGAGGAUGACCAGCCACACUGGAACUGAGACACGGUCCAGACUCCUACGGGAGGCAGCAGUGGGGAAGAUUGCACAAUGGGCGCAAGCCUGAUGCAGCCAUGCCGCGUGUAUGAAGAAGGCCUUCGGGUUGUAAAGCACUUUCAGCGGGGAGGCGUUACCCGCAGAAGAAGCACCGGCUAACUCCGUGCCAGCAGCCGCGGUAAUAC
rnacentral:rRNA from 1 species